CCACCUUGUUUAUCAAUGAAACAUCCCUCAGAGUUUGGAGUCUCACUGAGAGGAAAAAACAGGAUCCAAGGAAACUUGCAGUAUUAGAAGAAACAAUAUUAAAAGCUAAAACACUUGCAGAUAAUCAAGCAGAGUGGGAGGAAUUCUACUCCAUAUGAGAACAAUGGACAUUCAAUGACAAAUCCAUGAACUGGACAGGAAUUGAUCUGAAUAGGACAAAGAAAGCAUCAGAGGGAAAUACAGGGAGGGCUAAACUGUUUCAAAGUAAACUUCAUGUUCGGGUUGGUUUUAAUUGAUUUUGUGACAUUACUUUUAAGUUAUCUUUCCUUUUUUAUUAUUGUUUAAUGAAAACUGCAAGAUGCCUUGAGUACUUUUUAGUGGGAAAGUGGGGUGCAAAAUGUAAUGAAUAAAUAAGAAGAAUAAUAAAAGUUACUA